UCCUUUUGCAAUGUAAACACAAAACUCCUGAAAGUUGGGGUGAACAAUUGGCAUAGCAGUUAAGAUGCUGGUUAGGUUACUUACAUCACAUAUCAGAGUAUCUGGUAUCAGAAUGUCCCAGGUUUGGCUCCUGUUUCCAACUUCCUUCCAAUGCAGACCCUGUGAGGCAGCAGAUGAUAGCUCAAGUAAUUGGGUCCCUGUUACUCACGUGGGAGAGCUGGGUGGAGUUUCUGGAUCUCAGGAAUUUGGAGGAGGGUGACAGCAUUGGGAGCUCUGUUUCUGUCCAUCUAUUUCUAUCUGCUUCUCAAAAAAUAAAAAUAAACAAAACCCCCAAAACUCUUUGGUGUUAAACUUUUUGGCAUUCUCACUAUCAAUUUAGGUAUAAUUACUUUUUCUUUUACCCCACGUAAAUUUUGGUAAAAUUUGUUCAGAAAGUACUAACUGCAUAAACAUUAAAAUUUUCUCUUCAGAGUCCCCACAAUAUGAUGUGGGACGGUGCUAGGGUGGAACGGUAGUGAAGUAGUACUGGCUAUGAUAAUAACAACAAAAUAUAGAUUCUUGUAUAAGAGAAAUUUCAUGGUCACAUUAAGUUUGAGUUAUAUUGUUUUAGCCUUUGGAGGAAGAGAGGCUGGAUCAAUGUAAAUUCUGAAGCUGUGCAGGGCAUUUGAGAUGUUAAAUCUUUAUAACAUCAAGGAUAUAGCAAAAGAGCUGGAGGAGUCAAAUGUGUUUUCUUUAUCAUUAGAAGGAAAUGUUGAGUCUGAGGAUGGACACAAUUGGGGAAGCUUUCAGGAAGUGCUUAGGUCACAAGAAUGGCAGUAGAGAAGAGUGAAUAGGCAGUCAAUAUGUUGGAAAGAACAUAUUUCUCUUCCUCUCACAAUAAUGUGAGUAGUUUUGAAGGAGACAGAAAGGAGAGAUGAAGAAAUGAGAUAAGGAUGUUUUUAAUAUGUGAAAUUUGGGUAAUGCAAGUAUAUGUAGGAUGUGGACCUAGGUCAUGAAGAAUGAGAUGAGGAAAAUAGAUUCUUAGAGGGCAGGAGUUGAGGACCCACAGGAACAUGAGAUGAGGCAGUGAGGGAAGAAGGAAGAACAUCUUACAAUGUUCCAAUUGAUCAGUACCCAUAUGGGAUCAUAAAGACUCAGAGGCCAGCAAUGCAACAAUAAAUAAUAGAAAUUAGAGGAAAGAUGUAAAAGCCGAAAAAUACCAUGACACAUAAGUAUACUUUUUUUAAUUUAUUUAAAAAAUUUUUUGACAGGCAGAGUUAGACUGUGAGAGAGAGAGACAGAGAGAAAGGUCUUCCUUCUGUUGGUUCACCCCCCAAAUGGCCGCUACGGCCGGCAUGCUGUGGCCGGCACGCUGCGCCGAUCUGAAGCCAGGAGCCAGGUGCUUCCUUCUGGUCUCCCAUGGGGGUGCAGGGCCCAAACACUUGGGUCAUCCUCUACUGCCUUCCUGGGCCACAGCAGCGAGCUGAAAGAGGAGCAACCAGGACAGAAUCCAGGGUGCCGGUGCUGCAGGCGGAGGAUUAGCCUUUUUUAUUUUUAAAGAUUUAUUUAUUUAUUUGAAAGUCAGAGUUACAGAGAAGCAGAGGUAGAGAGAGAGAGAGAGAGAGAGAGAGAGGUCUUCCAUCCGCUGGUUCACCCUCCAGAUGGCCGCAAUGGCCAGAGCUGCACUGAUCCAAGGCCAGGAGCCAGGAGCUUCUUCCGGAUCUCCUGUGUGGGUGCAGAGGCCCAAGAACUUGAGCCAUCUUCUAAUGCUUUCCCAGGCCAUAGUGGAGAGCUGGACUGGAAGUGGAGCAGCUGUGACUUGAACUGGCACCCAUAUGGGAUGCCAGCACUGCAGGUGGCAGCUUUACCCACUAUGCCAGAGUGCCUACCCAAGUAUUUUUUUUUUAAGAUCUAUUUAUUUCUUUGAAAGUGAUGCUACAAAAAGGGAGAGACAGACAGAGAAAGACAGAUCUUCCAUACACUGAUUCACUCCCCAAGUGGCUGCCAUGGCCAGGGCUGAACUAGUAGGACAAGACCAGGAGUCAGGAACCUGGAGCUUUAUCUGGGUGGCAGGGGCCAUGUGGCUGGCAGGGGUCCAAGUACUUAGGCCCUCUUCCAAUGCUUUCCCCAGGCCAUUAGGAGGGAACUGGAUCAAAGUGGUGCAGCCCAGACAUGAACCAGCACCCAUGUUGGACGCCAGCAUUUGCAGGCAGUGGCUUUACAUGCUACAUCACAAUACUGGCUCCACCUAAAUAUUCUUGAAAAUUGUUUGUAAUUCAACAAUGCAUUUUCUCUUGGCCUUAUAUAUUUCUUAUAGUCUAUCUUCUUGGGUAAAAUGAGUGGGAGAAAUAAGAGAUACCCAAAGUUCACAUACUUGUGGUUCUAUGAUAUUGCAUCUCAGGCCUAGUGCUUAAGGAAACUCGCUCCUCAUUUAUGUCUGUUAAAAGUUUCCUAUGUAAAUGACAAAGAAAUGCCAGGAUUAUUCCCUUUUGGGGGCAAGGUCUUUAACAUUUAUGAAUCAUAUACAGUAGGCAAUGCUUGUUCUAUUUUUAUACUAGCACUGUGAAAUAGAUAUUUUUAUGAUUAUGGUUUUGCAAAUGAGAAACCUGGAAAUUAAUGAGAGGCUGGAUAAUUUUUCCAAGGAUGCACAAGGCAGUAGAGCCAAAAAUGAUGUCAGUGCUCUCCUUUUUAAGAUUCCAUUCUUGUUCUUUACAGCAUAAAGGACUACAAAUAAAGUAUUAUUAUUUAAGUAGUACAAAAAUCAUGUAUAUAAUUGGAAGGAUUUCAAAUGUCAAGGAUCCAGUAACUCACAUAUUAACAGAUGACUAAAGCAGUUGGUAAAAAUGGCCAGAAAACAAGUAGAGAGGUCAAAUUUUGGAGAUUACAUUUCUAUAUGUUACACUUUCCUAUUAUUUGCCUGAUUUUCUCACCAUUUUGUCCCAAGAUGCUUCUUGUCAUUGACAAUGCGUGUUGUGGUGGUAUGGAAGUGAUUGGAAGGAAAUGGUCCCACUUCUCAGGGCUUAACCUUGCUAUUGAACCUUAAUAUGAUAUUACAUUCUCCACAUUUGUGGGACCAAACACUUUGUAUACAGAUUAUCCUAGGAGUUAUUUGGAAACAUUGAGAAAAUAUAGGUAGAGUAUCUAUUAGUACCAUAAGGAAUUUCAGGCCUGACAAGUGAAAUCUGGAUUUUAUGUGCUAGAGUCAUGGCAAGAUUAAGUUUGGUACCAUAAAGGUAAAGGGAAUGCUAAUGAGAAAUUAUUACCAAAUAAUAUUUGCAAACCCUUGACAGAAAUUGAUGAGAAAAUGGAGGUGGACACAGCCCUGUCUGGAGGAUAGUAACUGUUAAAGGGCAAGCAAAGCAUGUUCUUACGAGACAAUUGCUUAUCAAUGUGAGGCUAAUUACCUCUUUGAGGACAUUGACAUAAAUGACAUUGGAAGGAAUUGAGAAGCAGAGGGCCUUGGAAGUCAUAUUUUUUUUUAACCUGUGGGAUGUAAUAAAAGGUGAUGCAAGGUGGAAACUUCUUGCCACAUUGCACUCUCCCCUCUGCUCUGUUCCUAUUAGUAACACUGAUAAGAGAACCAUUUUUAACUGGGUAUGGUUCACUUAUAUUCCAGACUUUUUUCAAAGUUUAUCUUGAAUUUAGAGACAGUAGGAGCCUUAGAAAUUAUUCACUACAAACCUGGAUCCAGUCCAGCAUACUGAAAGUGGAUUGUUUUAGAGUCUUUCCAGAUUCAUACAGGAUAGGGUGAAUCCAUUUGUUACUCUUUAUUAUGGAAGACAUGAGUCUAUGAGGAAUAUCUUGACUAAAAUAGGUUCUUUUUUUUCUUUAAAUAGAAUGCCAAAUAGAAUUGGCAGUGCUUCCUUGAAAAUUAAUUCAAAGUGUGCAUAACUAUUUUAAGGGCUACAUUUACAUUACAUAUUCCUUCUGAACAAGAAAACGCCAGACCACAUAAUCAUACUGCAGUAAUAAAAAAAGUAUUUUAUGUUUAGUAUAAUAGCAUACAUUUAUGAAACACUGCUUUGUGCCAGGCACUGUCCUAAGCCUUAAUAAGUAUUAACUCAUUUUUUCCUCACAACAACCCUUUGAGGUGAACACUAUUAUUAUUGUUCCUCUUUUAUAAAUAAUAAAGCUAAGGCUCAGAAAAGUUAAGAUUGUAGCUAAUUACACAGCAGUCCUGCACAGGAGGCCACAAUUGAACACAGGCAACCUGAUCCAGAAGCUAUAUUCAUAGCAUCCAUGCUGUGCUGCCUCUUUGAACACACAUUACCUGUAUGCUGCUUCCACCAUUUGUUUUGCCAUUGUAGUAGAGUGUUUGACCAAUGAAUGUUCCACUGAUAACCAAGUAAUUAUAUUCUCUGGACUUCUUAUUCAAUUCUUGAGGAAAAUAACUAUUUCAGUAUAUUAUAAUGUAAUGUACAUGUAGGAAAUACAGCAGGAACGUACCAGGAAACGAGUCAAUUAUAUGUCUUCCAAUGCAACACACAUUACUGCUGUGCUUCCCAGCUUCCCAGUCUUAUUUAUUAGCAUUAGCCUCCAGAGUUUUAUACUGUGAGUCUUACUGCUAAGGUGAUACCUUUCAGUUGUUCCAAAGUGGUGUUCAAGCAUUUCAACUCUGCUUCCAGGUAGAUCACUGAAAUAACUUGUUUAAAGGCAUAUAUGAAAUGCAUUUAUGAUAUUUUGUUGGACAGAUUAAACUCUUGGGUUCAAGAAUUAAUUUCUUUUCCAAGUACAGUAUUUGCUAGCAGUAUUAUCUUUGGUAGUUAUUUAAUUUUAUUAUAUUGUCCUCUCGCAUCUGUAAACUGGAGAUACACCUGCUGUCCUCAUAGAGUGUUUGUGAGGAUUGACAUUAGGAAAUAUGAGUGUUCAUCAGGUAGUUGUUGCUUAUUAAAAAGACAAUAGUCACAAAGAAGCAGCAAUGAUAACUGUGUUGUUAUUAUGACAGUGAAUUCAAAUAGGCUAGCAUAUCAAGUAUCCAUUUACAGGUGGUAGUCAAAUGAUAUUGAUGGUAUUUGAAGCUUUGCUUUGUAAUAAAACAAAUCAAGCAAUUAAAAGAAUUGUGGUUUGAGUUAGAACAUUUAAUAUUUUUUGAAGUUCUUCCUAAUCUCUCUAUAUAGAGAUUCUUUCCAGUAUCCCAUAUGUAACUUGUGCACUCCUUUAUUAAUAAAAAUAACAAUUUUGUGUUUAAUUUCUUCUUGUGUAGAUUUACCAGAUAUGACUAUAAACUAUUUGGGAGACAUGAUAGGAACCAUUCAAUCUUUAUAGCUACAGCAUCUGGCACACUAUUUGUUACACAACAGAUGCUUAUCAAAUGAUUGCUUAAUAAAUAAAUAAACUAAUUUUAAGUAUUUAGUAUAGUCAUUUGUUGAAAAACUACAUUAAAUUGGAGAGGUGUGAGUAUCAGUUCAGUGAUAAUGCAUUUAAUGAAGCAUAUUUGAGUGUAGAGACAAAUACUUUAGAUAUUCUCAUUUUCCUUUAUUUUCCAUGAAGACUAAAUUCAAUAGGGACGUUAAUGCCAAGAUAAUAUUGCAGUUUUGGUGAUAAAAACAUCUGUUUUUUAUGGAAUUAUGUUAACAGAGCAAAUGAUCCAAUUGACAAAAACAGUGUAUAAGUUUCUGAAGUUCUGAGAACAUAAAACACAUUGUUCUGUUAUUUAAGUUGUCAUUGAUCAGUGAUAAUUAUAUUUGUACUGUAGAUAAUUAAUGAUUAAAAUGCUUGGCAACUGAAUUUUUAUCCAAGUGAUAAAGAUUGCGCAUUUUAUCUGGUAAAAAGGAGGUUAUGAUAGAAAAAAAGGACCUUCUAUGAUUCCAAUCUGACUUGUCUAUGAUGACAUGAUGACACUGGAGUUUUUGAUUUUUCAUGUAUAUUUUUUGCUACCCUAAAUUUAGGGUUUUUUUGUGGGGGUGGAAUAGGGUGUAUCAUCCUUGUUAGAGCCAACUCUCAAUUAGUGAGGGAGGACUCAUUACUUUUCCCUUGUUUCUCUCCUGUGGCCCAUUACCUUUGCUCUACUUGAACUGAAGAGAGCAUUCAGGGAUUUGUGGCAAGCUACUGAAAUUUUUAUAACUUGAAUUGACUUUUCAGGUUCAGACAGCAACACCCAGGAUAUUAAACUGACACUUCUGAAUUUCCCAGGGCUGCUAGCACACAUCUGGUAUUCAUUUCUACAGAGUUUAUAGAGUGGUCAUUUUCUAAGUCACAAGGGUCUACAGAAAAUUGUUGCUGACAGGAUUUCUGAAAGAUGAGUGAAGCAUGACACAGGCACUGCAGGAUUGUCCCAGAUCCUUGACAAUGCUGACAAUUAGGCUACUGGAAGAUUUUUGACUAUCACUGUCGGUCUGUUUUUCAGCCUGUCUUAAGUGAUGUGGGACAAUUCACAAAGGAGAGACAAGGCUUACCAAAGACAUGAAGACAGCAGGGGAGGUGGUGUGACCUCCGGAAUGAUCUACAAGGAAUUGUUUGAGAUGAAGCAGAGAAGUGAGCACAGGAAUAUGACUUGAAGUUCCCUCAUACUUUUGACUGAAGACACAGUCUCUAAUUCUAGCAGAGACACCUUCAUUGAGUGGAAACCAGAGAGCUUGCCUAUACUUGACCUUCUCAAGAAGAUUGCAGAUGUCUAAGAGAUAAAGCCUAUUGCUCAAGUGAGUCUCAAGACUUUGUUUCCAUUCCACUUGACAACAUUUCAUUAAUCAAGACUACACUUUCAGCUGAUGCAAGGGUUGGACACUUUGCUUUUCUCUUCAAUACAACAAGGUAAAG